rnacentral:misc_RNA from 1 species
AAGUCGUAACAAGGUAACCGUAGGUGAACCUGCGGUUGGAUCAUUAAUAAAUUCAAUUUGAUAAUACUCCCUCACAUUUUUUUAUGUGAGGUUUGAGGAUAUCAUCAACCCCAACCUUUGUGAAUUGUUAACCGUAUUUUUGGGUAAGGCCUCUCUUUAGGGGGCUUACCCAUGUUUAUUUUUUAAGCACUAGUAGUAAAACUUGUCUUUACCUUUUUUUUAUAGAAAUAUAAUGAAAAAACAACUUUUGACAACGGAUCUCUAGGCUCUC